rnacentral:rRNA from 1 species
CUCGUAGGCGGUUUGUCGCGUCUGCUGUGAAAGCCCGAGGCUCAACCUCGGGUCUGCAGUGGGUACGGGCAGGCUAGAGUGCGGUAGGGGAGAUUGGAAUUCCUGGUGUAGCGGUGGAAUGCGCAGAUAUCAGGAGGAACACCGAUGGCGAAGGCAGAUCUCUGGGCCGUUACUGACGCUGAGGAGCGAAAGCAUGGGGAGCGAACA